rnacentral:rRNA from 1 species
AUGGACAUCACAAUCAAUUCCUUGACGUACAAAGGUUCGAUUCCAGAUGCAAUUAAUCAAUCAAGAAGGGAGAAAAAACUCUUUGUAAUUUACAUAUCAGGUCAAGAUGAAACCUCAAGUAGUUUGGAACAGUCUACAUUGGUUGAUGAACAUGUGGCUGCAGUGAUAAGCAGAUGUUGCAUAUUCUUGCAACUAAAACAAGGCAAUGUUGACGCGCUUCAAUUUUCAGCUAUCUUUUCAUCCUUGACUUUUUCUCAAUCAGAUCCACAGAAGUCUGUCCCAAGUAUAUCCGUCGUUGGACUGAAUGGUGCUAUGCUAUGGAAUCAUGAGGGGUAUAUUAGCCCAGAAGAGCUUAAGGAAAGCAUUGAUAAAGCUUGGGCUGCACUUCAACUGCAGGAGACAGCGGCAACCCUGUUAGCUGCAUCACUUGCUUCAAGAAUGUCUGAACCUGCGAAUACUGCUUCGACAACUAUGCCUGGUGAAGAUGGUUCAUCUACUUCAGAAAAUCAUUCCAAUUCAUCAGGUCAAUCCUCAGAGUCUUCUGCAGUCCGUGGGUUUGCUAAUUCUACUGCUUUGGUAGCACAACCACCUAGUAGCACAAGCCAUGCUGAACUUCUCAAGACAAGUAAAAUCCCAAAAUCAGAUUCAGCUCCAUGCAACAUAACCGCUGAGGAAAAGCUAGAUUCAGCAUGUCAGGCUCUGUUGCCAGAUUUUCCAGCAAGCUCAAAUGUGGACAGUUCCACAGAUCCAAAUCAGACAGGCAGUACACCUUCGCCAAAAAGGAAGAAUAUGGUGGAUGGGAAUAGCACUAAAGUUCCCUCCAAGCCAGCUUCUAGCAUACCAACUAGGAGUACUCCACAGUUGCCUGUGGAACAAGAUAAGGCAACUACUAGCAGAGCUAUUGAAGUGACCACAGAUUCUGCAAAGACAGAUGAUAUUCAGCUGGCCAUUCGUAUGCCUGAUGGACCUAGUCUGCAGAUUAAACUGACAAAAGAAGAUGUUUUAAGGAAGGUGAAGACUUUUGUGGAUGAAAACCAAGAUAGUGGGAUUGGAUCAUAUAAUCUUGCAAUGCUUUAUCCUAGAAAAGUGUUCACGGAACAAGAUCUGGAAACCACAUUGUAUGAGCUGGGUAUUGAAACCCGCCAGGCCCUUGUUGUCGUUCCGAAUCGUCAAUCUGUUAAAGUGGUAAGGCACCAAUCGUCAUUGCCAUCCAGUGAUCUGGAUCGCACUGGGGCUACAGACAGGUCGGGUGGUUGGGGUUUUCUGGGGGCAGCGUUAUCAUACGUGAAUCCAUUGUCCUACUUGAGAGGAAAUCCCACCCCAUCAAAUCCUGAUCGACUGGGAAAUGAAGGCUCGCAGCAGUACAGACCGAACUCUGAAUCCCAACCUCUUCGUAGUGAUGGAAGUCAACAAACAGCUACUCAUAGCUCUGGAAAUACCUUGAGAAGGCGGCCCCGACAGUUCGGUGGCAACAUUCACACUCUAAGCAGUGAAGAACAAGAUCCAUCUGAUAAUAGAAAUGUCUUCUGGAAUGGGAAUUCUACAGAGUUUGGAGGUGAUGAAAAGAAAUAG